GAUGAACGCUGGCGGCGUGUCUAAGGCAUGCAAGUCGUAUGGGUUUAGGCCCAUGGCAAACGGGAGAGUAACACAUUGGUAACCUACCCUGGGGACGCGUAUAACUCCGAGAAAUCGGAGAUAAUUCGCGAUAUUAGCGGGGGGACGAAAGUCAUUCCCACUUAAAGCAGCAAUGCGCCUCGGGAGGGGCCUAUGUCUUAUCAGCUAGUUGGUGAGGUAAAAGCUCACCAAGGCGAUGACGAGUAGCGGGUGUGAGAGCAUGGCCCGCCUCACUGGGACUGAGACACUGCCCAGACUCCUACGGGUGGCAG
rnacentral:rRNA from 1 species